rnacentral:tmRNA from 1 species
GGGGGCGCGUGGGUUCGACGGGGGAAGGCCCACAGAAUUGCAGGCUGAGGUGCCACUAACCUCAUAAAACAAGUGGCAAAAGAUAACUGGCGAACCUGUUUACGCUUAACGGGUAACAUCUAACCCGGGUUCUCCUCGAAGGUCGGGAUUAGGUGUCAGAAAAAUCGAGGUGCUCCAAUCCUGACGCCGAUACGGGUUGGCUAAGAAGCAUUGGCUAGUCUAGCUGUACUCGGCCAGCAGAUUAAAGCUAGAUGAGAUAAGGGAGCUGGCUAAGCUUGUAGGAUAUUCUGGCAACCUUCUCUUGGACGGGGAGUUCAACCCUCCCCCGCCUCCACCA